AACGAACGCUGGCGGCAUGCCUAACACAUGCAGGUCGAACGAGACCUUCGGGUCUAGUGGCGCACGGGUGCGUAACGCGUGGGAACCUGCCCUUAGGUUCGGAAUAACUCCCCGAAAGGGGUGCUAAUACCGGAUAAUGUCUUCGGACCAAAGAUUUAUCGCCUUUGGAUGGGCCCGCGUUGGUUUAGCUAGUUGGUAGGGUAAAAGCCUACCAAGGCGACGAUCCAUAGCUGGUCUGAGAGGAUGAUCAGCCACACUGGGACUGAGACACGGCCCAGACUCCUACGGGAGGCAGCAGUGGGGAAUAUUGGACAAUGGGCGAAAGCCUGAUCCAGCAAUGCCGCGUGAGUGAUGAAGGCCUUAGGGUUGUAAAGCUCUUUUACCCGGGAUGAUAAUGACAGUACCGGGAGAAUAAGCUCCGGCUAACUCCGUG
rnacentral:rRNA from 1 species